UGUUGUUUUUGUACUAAGAAAUCCUCAUACCAGAUUUCAUCGAGAUAUUUAAAUUUCUAUUCAAGUUACAGAUUGCGCGUUCGGACGGGACGGACGGACGGACAGAUAGUCAAUCGGAUUUCAACUUUUCUCGUCACUCUGCUCAUUUAUAUAUACAUAUGUAACCCUAUAUCUAUCUCCCUUAGUUUUAGGUGAGAUGUGCUACCGUUAGGUGAAUAAAACUAUAAUACUCUGUAGCAACUGGUUGCAAGAAUAUAAAAAUGUUGCUAUUUGCAAAGGGUUAAGUUCAGACGCAGCCGAGUGGUCGCCCCGUCUGUGGUUCCGCCACUGAAAUGCAAUGAAACAAAGAAACCAUAAAACUCAUAAUAAAAUAUUAUAAUUUUAUGAAAAAUGAUUUAAAUAAAACGCAGUCUUAUAAAUGUUAAAUAAUUUAUAAGAGUGCGUUUGGAAGAGAACUAUUUUGUUGCUCGUUAUCGGAAAAUUAUCUUUUGGUGUCGCGCAUUACUUUCGCCAACUGGAAUCGGGCAACUUUCUGCAUUUUCUUUCAUCUCAUAUUAUCAAAUUUCUGUACGUUUCAUGUAUGCUGUGCAUCAAAAUAUAUUUUGUUAGCUUUCCUUAUUCUUAUUAACUCUUUUUCUAAAACAUGUCCACUAUAUAAUAGUUAUUUACAUACAUAUUUGCAUAUAACAUACAAAUAUAUGAAAUAUAUAUAAACAUUCAUUUGGAACAGACCGCUAUGGCAUCCAGCAAAGAGAUUUCGAAAUGAAAAGAAAUGCCGAGCUGCGUAGCACCGUGGUGUUUCGAACAAGAACGUAAAGCGUGCCACACGUGCUCGUCCGUUCAUCUUUCCUGGUCUUCCCUUCGCUUCAAAAUUCAGGUUCGGAGUGGGCGAUAGAAGAGGUCCUCGUGUGACCAUAGUUUAAAAAAUAUUUGCCAAAAAAACUUUAGUUGCACGGAAUUCAAUAUGUUUAUUACUGGCAUCCCGUCUUUUUUGAUUUUAGCUACUCGAAAUUCCAAAUAGGAUAAAAGAAAAUAACCCUUGCGGUGAAUGUCAUGGGCCAAGUUUGAUUAAAAUCGAUCAACAAUUGCACUGCAUUUAAAAUUUUAAUUUAAAAUUGGGCAGGGCAUUUUCACGGAUAGAUAGAAGUUAAGAGAGAAGGCUAGCAGACCAUUGCAUCGUCUUUAAAACAGAUGGCUGCCUCAAGAUAGCGGGACAUAUACUGAUCCGAAGUGCAACCUCCUUCAGAGGUCCGGUGGAACUGCAGCGAGCUUGGCAGGCGAUGGUCAACAACUAUAACUUGUAUGUACUCUGGGAGAUCGUUCUGAACCAAAGUGAAAUAUAAGAGGCCUUCUGAAGUACCUAAAAUUAGCAAAAACAAUCUCGUCAUAAUUGUAGGUAUACCAUACAUACACGAUAGGUAUACCUAUGCAAUAUAUGGAUAUAAGUAUAUGCUAUAUUUAUGGACGUAUGUAUAUACUUUAUAGUAGCUUUAUAAGUGCAAAUAUUUGUAUAAAAUUAUGCAAAUGUUGAAUCUUCUUAGAAUUUUAAAAUUUAAAGCUUUUAUACCUAAGCAUGCAAAAGUUUUGAAUAUUCUUCUGUAGUAAACAAAUGAAGUCUCCCGCUGAGUACAUUUCUCAGCGAACGCAUCAUCAAUUGCAUUCAAAAAUUCUAAAAACACAAAUUAUAAAACUCCUGCAUAAAUACCAGCAACAGAAAUAAAUAAUCCAAUCAAAUCUAA